AUUGAACGCUGGCGGCAGGCCUAACACAUGCAAGUCGAGCGGAUGAGAGGAGCUUGCUCUUCGCUUCAGCGGCGGACGGGUGAGGAAUGCCGUGGAAUCUGCCCAGUAGUGGGGGACAACGGUUCGAAAGGAAAGCUAAUACCGCAUACGUCCUACGGGAGAAAGGGGGUGAUCUUCGAACCUCAGGCCAUCGGAUGAGACUAGGUCGGAUUAGAUAGUUGGUAGGGUAAAGGCCGACCAAGGCGACGAUCCGUAACUGGUCUGAGAGGAUGGUCAGCCACAGUGGAGCUGAGACACGGUCCAGACUCCGACGGGAAGCAGCAAUGAGGAAGAUUGGACAAUGGGCGCAAGCCUGAUCCAGCCAUGCCGCGUGUGUGAAGAAGGCCCUCGGGUCGUAAAGCACUUUAAGUUGGGAGGAAGGGCUUACAGCGAAUACCUGUGAGUUUUGACGUUACCGACAGAAUAAGCACCGGCUAACUUCGUGCCAGCCGCCGCGGUAA
rnacentral:rRNA from 1 species